UUUUGAUUUAUUUGAAAAUAAUUGAAAAUAGAUUUUUCAAGGACGGUGUCGAGGUCACGGGGUCGGUGUCGUUUUUCGAAAUUUGUUAACUUAAUAUAAUAGAAGAUGUUUCGUUUUAAAUUAAGAAAUGUUAAAAUUAUUAAGUUAAAAACAUUUGAUUUUAAUGACACUUAAAAUUAGACACAAUAUUAUAGGUUACUAACUAAAAAUUGAAAAAACAACAAUAAAUAAUAAAA